GCGGUGUUCGUAUAACGGUUAGUAUACCAGUUUGUGGCCUAAUAACCUCAAUUCACUGGCGAUGGCGGUUCGAUUCCGCCACACCGCA